CUCUCUCUCUCUCUCUCUCUCUCUCACACACACACACACACACACACACACACACAUAUUUUUCUAUUUUUUAAAAAUAAUACACAUAAUUAAUUAAAUUUGUGCUUUGCCUUUUGGCUGUAGAUUACAUAACGAUCAGACCGACCCAUGCUUAUUUGGUAUCUUGUACUUUGUUUGGGCCAGUGCAAUGCUGCCAACUCAAAUGUGCAGGUUUCAAUUGUUAGAGAUUGCCGAUCAAGGUCCAUAGUCAGAGAGAAUGGAUCGGGACAAACAUUAACCUCAGCGCAAAACGCAUAGAGAGAAUAUUAUAGUCCCUAGUUUUAUCUGCUUUUAAGCUUUUUUCUUGGGGAAUAGAAACAUCAAGGGAAGAAUGGCGAUUUGAUCAUUGGGAUUAUAACACAAAAGUUAAAAAAAAUUUUAUUUGGUAAAAAAAAUUCUUUCAGAGAAAUUAUAUCUAUAUGUCAAAAAGGCUAUCCCAUACAAUAUAAUAUUGAACACACACACAUAUAUAUAGCACAUGAUUUUGUACAUUAAACCUAAUGCAUAAUUAUUCGAAUUGAACUCAACAAUAAAGGAAUAAGCUAGAAUUAUUCUAUUACAAAUAUAAAAAUUUAGCUAAAAUUCGAUAUUAUCUCUAAAAAAAAUUAUAGGCGGAGAAAGAGAGGAAGGAGAGGGGGUGGAAAAAAUAAACCUUCCAAGUUUUUCUUCUUCCUGCAUUGAUGAGGCCUAAGAUAAGAGAUAAUAAAUGAUCUGAAUAACUCAAGCUUGGCUUGAAAAAAGCUCAAUUUAGGUUUAGAUUGAAGCUAAAUAAUCAAGCUUGAUGAUCAUCUAGGCUUAAAGAAAUUUUAAGCCAAGCCAAGAAUAGACCUAGCUCCAUUAGGCUACAUGCGCG
rnacentral:lncRNA from 1 species